rnacentral:rRNA from 1 species
UACGGAGGGUGCGAGCGUUGUCCGGAAUCAUUGGGCGUAAAGGGCGCGUAGGUGGCCCGGUCAGUUCGUGGUGAAAGCGCGGGGCUCAACCCUGCGUCGGCCAUGAAUACUGCCGCGGCUGGAGCACUGUAGGGGCAUGCGGAACUUCCGGUGGAGCGGUGAAAUGCGUUGAUAUCGGAAGGAACGCCGGUGGCGAAAGCGGCGUGCUGGACCUCUUCUGACGCUGAGGCGCGAAAGCCAGGGGAGCAAACGGG